UACGGAGGAUGCGAGCGUUAUCCGGAUUUAUUGGGUUUAAAGGGUGCGUAGGCGGAUCAAUAAGUCAGUGGUGAAAUUCUGCAGCUUAACUGUAGACUUGCCAUUGAUACUGUUGGUCUUGAGUAUGGUCAAGGUAGGCGGAAUGUGUAAUGUAGCGGUGAAAUGCUUAGAUAUUACACAGAACACCGAUUGCGAAGGCAGCUUGCUGGGCCAAUACUGACGCUGAUGCACGAAAGCGUGGGGAUCGAAC
rnacentral:rRNA from 1 species